GAUGAACGCUAGCGGCAGGCUUAAUACAUGCAAGUCGAGGGGCAGCAGGGUGUAGCAAUACAUCGCUGGCGACCGGCAAACGGGUGCGGAACACGUACGCAACCUUCCUUCAAGUGGGGAAUAGCCCGGGGAAACCCGGAUUAAUACCCCGUAAUAUUAUGAGGCGGCAUCACCUUAUAAUUAUAGUUCCGACGCUUGAAGAUGGGCGUGCGACUGAUUAGGUUGUUGGCGGGGUAACGGCCCACCAAGCCUACGAUCAGUAACUGGUGUGAGAGCACGACCAGUCACACGGGCACUGAGACACGGGCCCGACUCCUACGGGAGGCAGCAGUAAGGAAUAUUGGUCAAUGGACGCAAGUCUGAACCAGCCAUGCCGCGUGGAGGAUGAAGGUCCUCUGGAUUGUAAACUUCUUUUAUUUGGGAAGAAACCCAUAGAUUCUUCUGUGGUUGACGGUACCAAGUGAAUAAGCACCGGCUAACUCCGUGCCAGCAGCCGCAGUAAUAC
rnacentral:rRNA from 1 species